UCUUGAGUAGUCCUUUCAAGGACUGUCCAACCUGAGAAUGGUGAUUUUAGGCUCAAUCUCAGGUUCGUCAGCCCAUGAAAUGCUAACUCGCC
rnacentral:pre_miRNA from 1 species